rnacentral:lncRNA from 1 species
UCUUCAGUGGAAAGUAAUACAGAUGCAAUGAAAAUACAGAGAAGUGAAUAUGCUUUGCCAAGGAUUCUAUCCAGGCCCAGAUAACUGUCAAGACCAAUUAUAGAAGCUUGCCAUUCUGCUCUUUUGGAGAGAUGCUGACUUCUUCCUUAUCAAGUGAGGUAAACGAUGCCCUUAUAGUUCCAAAAUCUUCAUAUUUGUAGUGU